rnacentral:misc_RNA from 1 species
GAUGAAGAACGCAGCAAAAUGCGAUAAGUAAUGUGAAUUGCAGAAUUCAGUGAAUCAUCGAAUCUUUGAACGCACAUUGCGCCCGCCGGUAUUCCGGCGGGCAUGCCUGUUCGAGCGUCAUUUCAACCCUCAAGCCCCCGGGUUUGGUGUUGGGGAUCGGCUCUGCCCUUCUGGGCGGUGCCGCCCCCGAAAUACAUUGGCGGUCUCGCUGCAGCCUCCAUUGCGUAGUAGCUAACACCUCGCAACUGGAACGCGGCGCGGCCAUGCCGUAAAACCCCAACUUCUGAAUGUUGACCUCGGAUCAGGUAGGAAUACCCGCUGAACUUAAGCAUAUCAAUAAGCGGAGGA